rnacentral:lncRNA from 1 species
UACCAUUCUUUUUAGCUUCGGCUACAGCUUUAGCAUGCAAAAAUUCAUUUUUACAACAUGACAUUAAAUGAUUACUCAAAUGUCCCGUCCCACCCUGUUUUCCUACAGUUUUAUGAUUCAUUCUAUGUUUACAUUUAUUACAAAUAGCUUGUGUUUUAUCUUCAUUCUGAGUCAUAAAUUGCCACACAACUGAUUUUUUAGCGCGUUCUACCUUAGUCCUAGGAUGCACGGGGGGAACGGGAGCAGGACAACGAAAG